UACGUGGGGAGCAAGCGUUGUUCGGAUUUACUGGGCGUAAAGCGCACGUAGGCGGGUCGUUAAGUCAGGGGUGAAAUCCCAGAGCUCAACUCUGGAACUGCCUUUGAUACUGGCGACCUAGAGUUCGGAAGAGGUUAGUGGAAUUCCCAGUGUAGAGGUGAAAUUCGUAGAUAUUGGGAAGAACACCAGUGGCGAAGGCGGCUAACUGGUCCGAUACUGACGCUGAGGUGCGAAAGCGUGGGGAGCAAACAGG
rnacentral:rRNA from 1 species